UCAUUUACUUUGCAGGGUGGAUACCAGGGUCCCAAAGGUGGUUUUCCUGGGGCAAGGCUCACCCAUUGCACUCUGGGUGCGCUGACCCCUGUGAUUUCCCCAAAUGUGGAAAACUCAACUGCAUGAUUUGUGGUCGUGGGGGACUGAGUUUGCCUUCUC